GGACACUUCAACUGCUUUGAGGAGUGCUAUCUCGGCUUCGAGAAUGUUGGCGUCAUACGUGAACGCCACUGACAGGAAUCAGGUUCGGGAUAGCGACUUCAGUGAGUGUUGAAUUCGCGGAGGGCGAUGAGAUAAUGCAUACGGCGACAGUACCCGUCUUGCAACCUCACCGCCAGGAACGCUCGAAGGAUUCAACCUCCUUGCUGUCCACGCCCUGCGAAUACUGGGUUCGUGUGUGAAGGGUUCCGAAGCAAUAAAGAACAUGUUUGUGCAUUAUGAUACACCUGUGCCGGUGACACCGUGCAUCAUGUUCACUGGGAGAAGCAUUCAAGAAGCGGAGCAUAUGGACCUCUAUGUCGGCGAGUAGCGCCUUCUCAGAACCAUCGACCUUGACGAGGGCUUGGCUGCUAUUCUUGCAGCUAUUGGUUAUUUCAUAUUGUCUACAGUUCAAAGCCGCACCGUACAUCUUGAAGCCUGGAAGAGCGGUGCCUGAAA